rnacentral:rRNA from 1 species
CAGCAGCCGCGGUAAUACGAGAGGCCCGAGCGUUAGGCGGAAUCCCUGGGCUUAAAGGGUGCGUAGGCGGAUCAGUAAGCAUUUUGUGAAAUCCCUCGGCUCAACCGAGGAAUUGCAGAGUGAACUGCUGAUCUUGAGGUAGGCAGAGGUCAUCGGAACGUACGGUGGAGCGGUGAAAUGCGUAGAUAUCGUACGGGACGCCGAAGGGGUAGCCAGGUGACUGGGCCUUACCUGACGCUGAGGCACGAAAGCGUGGGGAUCAAACAGGAUUAGAUACCCUGGUAGUCCACGCCGUAAACGAUGUGCACUAGUUUGGUGGAGAUCUGACUCUCUGCCCGACGCCGAGAAAUCAUUAAGUGCACCGCCUGGGGAGUACGGUCGCAAGGCUAAAACUCAAAGGAAUUGACGGGGGCUCACACAAGCGGUGGAGCAUGUUGCUUAAUUCGAAGCAACGCGAAGAACCUUACCUGGGCUUGACAUGUAUGGAUUAGCUCUUGGAAACAUGAGUGACGCCCUUUGGGUGGAACAUACACAGGUGCUGCAUGGCUGUCGUCAGCUCGUGCUGUGAAGUGUCGGGUUAAGUCCCUUAACGAGCGCAACCUCUUAUCACUAGUUGCCAGCGCGUCAUGGCGGGGACUCUAGUGAGACUGCCGGUGUCAAACCGGAGGAAGGUGGGGAUGACGUCAGUCCUCAUGGGCUCUUACGCUCAGGGUGGCAAACGUGCUACAAUGGCGUGUACAAAGCGAUGCAAUAUCGUGAGAUGGAGCAAAUCGCAAAAAGCACGCCCCAGUUCGGAUUGGAGUCUGCAACUCGACUCCAUGAAGCCGGAAUCGCUAGUAAUCGGAGAUCAGCACGCUCCGGUGAAUACGUUCCUGAGCCUUGHACACACCGCCCGU